AUUGCUCAGUCGACACUUCCAAUGCUCUCAUCGCUAAGACGCUGACUCCCAAAUCACCUGCAAAUCACCAGCAAACUCUUGCUAACCAAAAAUUCCCAAAUCAAUGUUGAACGAAGGAUCUGAAGAACAGGUGAUUAAGAUGAUGAAACCCAUGUCCUAAAUUCCCAAAUCCCCAAAUCCAUUUGUUAACCAAAAAUCCCCAGAUCUCGAUUGCUAGCCCAAAACUCCCAAAUGCCCAAAGUCCCAGGAUCCAUUUGUUUCACUCGAAGGAUCUGAAGAACAGAGGAAUAAUUUAAAGGCAGCGAUUACAGGUGAAGAAAAUAUUUCAAUCGCGAGAAAGUUUCGACCUAAAAGGCAAUUAGUGAGAAAUCAACUUCAGGAUAUCUAUGGAUAAUUGUGAUAAAAGUUGGAUGAAUUUCUUGAGAUGGACAGAUGAGUAUAUUCGUGGAGUGAAUAAUUUUCUGGAUAAGGCAUUUGAACGAGCCGCCCAAGGAAAUGAAAUAUUAUGCCCUUGCAAAAAGUGCAUGAAUUGCUAUUGGCAUUAUAGAAAUGUGGUGGAGGAUCAUUUGGUUGUUCAUGGAUUUAUUGAAGGUUAUACCAAAUGGAUUUUCCACGGGGAGGAUUCUCCUUGAGACAUACACCUCAUCCAAGCAAUGAUGAUGAAGAAUCUACCAUGCGUGACGAUAUUGAUGGACUACUUCAUGAUGCAUUUAGAAAUAUAGAGGGUCAGGCAGGGGAUGAAGAAGGAGUUGAGGAAAGACUAUCUGAAGAUGCAAAGAAGUUUUUCAAAUUACUAGAGGACGGAAAACAAGAGUUAUAUCUGGGGUGUGAAAAUUUCAGUAAACUGAGUUUCACUAUUCGGUUGUACUUGCUUAAAUCCUUGCAUGGGUUGAGUAAUGUGGCUUUCACAGAUUUGUUAGAGUUGCUAAAAGAGGCAUUUCCCUUUGCUCAGGUACCAGAAUCUUUCAACAAGGCUAGAAACAUGAUAAAAUAUUUGGGUCUUCAUUAUGAAAAAAUACAUGCAUGCCCUAAUGAUUGCAUGUUAUUUUGGAAAGAAAAAGCGAAUGUCGAUAAUUGCUCUAUUUGUGGGUCUUCAAGAUGGAAAAGUGUUGGUCCUUUGACUAAAGCAAGCUCUAAAAUCCCUGCAAAGGUUUUAAGGUACUUUCCUUUAAAGCCUAGGCUUUAAAGGAUAUUCAUGUGUCCUGAAACGGCUGCUGCAAUGAGAUGACAUGCUAAUGAACGACCCAAUGCUGAGAGUAUAAGAAAUCCUGCUGAUGGGGAAGCUUGGAAGGCUUUUGAUUCUUUGCACUCAGACUUCUCUAGAGAUUCUCGUAAUGUUAGAUUGGGUCUUUCAAGUGAUGGUUUUAACCCGUUUCGGACCAUGAGCAUUUCUUAUAGUACGUGGCAUGUUAUGUUAAUGAACUAUAAUUUAUCACCGUGGAUUUGCAUGAAGCCAAAGUAUAUAAUGUUGUCGUCGAUCAUUCCAGGUCCAUCAUCUCCGGGAAAUGAUAUAGAUGUGUAGGAUCAUCUCCGGGAAAUGAUAUAGAUGUGUACCUACGACCAUUAGUUGAAGAAUUGAAGGAACUAUGGAAAACUGGGAUGGACACAUUUGAUGCUGAAACCAACCAAACAUUUCGAAUGCGUGCUGCCUUACUGUGGACAGUUAGUGACUUUCCAGCAUUAGCAAUGUUUUCGGGAUGGAGCACUAAGGGGAGAUUGGCAUGCCCCACUUGCAAUUAUGACUCAUGUUCUCAAUAUCUCAAACAUAGUCAUAAGAUGUGUUACUUGGGCCAUCGAAGAUUUUUGCCUCGUGAUCAUCCAUUCCAACGAGAUAAGAAGAUCUGGUAAGGAGGAGCAUAGACCUGCACCUGCUCCAUUGUCGGGUGAAGAAGUGUUUGAAGAGCUACUUGAAUUCAACAAUAUCUUUGGAAAGAGCAGGAAAAAAAGGCCUCGAAGUGAUAAGGGUCCGUGGAAAAAGAGAUCCAUUUUUUUCGAGUUGCCAUAUUGGGUGCAUAACAAAUUGAGGCACAAUCUUGAUGUGAUGCACAUUGAGAAAAACAUAUGUGAUAGUUUGCUUGGGACUUUAUUGAAAAUAGAUGGAAAAUCAAAGGAUCAUGAAAAAUCUCGCUAUGACUUACAAGAAAUGGGGAUACGAAAGGAGUUACAACCAAGGAUAAAUAAUGAUGGAACUAUAAGUUUGGCUAAAUCAUGUUUCUACAUGGAACCAUAAGAGAAAAGUUUAUUUUGUAUUGUCAUGAAAAAUGCUAAAUUACCAAAAAGGUGUGCUUCGAAUAUUUCUGAACGCAUGCAAGUGAAGAAAAAGAAAAAGAGCGCGUACUCAAAUGCCAAGGGUUCAUGUAAGAAAGGAGCGUAAAAGAGUCAUUCUAAAUGAGUAUAUUCAACCCAUUGGUCCUACUAACGAAGUUGUAAAAGAGUUGGGUAGCUUCCUCGGCACAUUGGCAAGGAGUGGGACUUUUUGUCCUCUUAAUGUAUUUAAUUGAAGAAAACUAGACACAAAAGAGGAUAUGUGAACAUAUAUCAAGGAAAAAUAUGACAUUCCUGACGAGGCGAAACCAUGGGGUUUUCAAUCAAUUUGUACUGCUUGGAGAAAGUAUAAGAAUCAAUUGAAGACAAACCACUUUAAAGCCUAUGAGAAUGAUGAGCUUUGAAUGGAGAACAGGCCAGUAGAUGUUCCGGAAUCUCACUUUAAGGAUCUUCUUAAAUAUUGGAACUCCUCUCCUCACAAGAAAAUGUCCGAAACCAAUACUGAGAAUCAAAAUAAGUUGAAGUGUCCGCACACUGCUGGCAGAACACCUUUUGCUCUAAUUCGCGAGGCAAAAAGAAGUAACUCUCUGAUACUUCGGAUACUCUGUCAAAGUAAGGACAUCUUUGUGGCUACAAGAAAAAGAAAACUUGACCGAGUAUACAAAACCUCAUAUGACAAUACGAUUAGUAAAAUUGCUGGAAGGGAGAGACUACAAUCAACUCAAGAAAGUCAAGAUGGCAAUCAUUCCCUGAUGCUUUUGCAUCAGUCAUGGCACCUGAACAUCCAGGUCGCGGUCGCGUGAGAUUGUAUGGACGAGGGGUUACCAAGACCGUCUUAAAAGGGAAAAUAGGAAAUCUUGGAUCUUCUGAUGCUUCUAAUGAGAGGAUGCAGCAGAAAAUGGAGGAAAUGGAAGAGAGGAUGCAACAAAGAAUGCUGGAAAAGUUGAACGAACAAAAGGAUGCUAUGGAACAACAUAUUACAAUGAGCGUCGUCGCACGACUUUAGCGUCUGAACCCAGAAUUGCGACUUGAUCCUGACAUGCUAAGGUUCGUAGAAGCUUCCUCUGCACAACAAGCUUCUGUUCAACUAAACAAUCGACCAUCUGCUGGUAGUAACAAUCAAGGUGGAGUAGAUCAACAAAUGGAAGAAGAUGAUGGAAGUGAA